UGUUGUUGAAAUAGUAAUACUGUUCAGUACUAGAGGAACCACAGAUUCAGACCCCUGGUGCAUGCGUUUAGCUGAGGAGCCACUGGCAUGAGGCUACCAUCUGCGGGCUUAUGACUGAAUGCCUCUAAGUCAGAAUCCCACCUAGACGUAGCAAUACGACACUGCCACCAUCACCUCAGUGGGCUCUUGACAGCCGCCCACCUGCCCCACAUGGGGCAGGCCCAGUGCAAAACACCGCUCAUGGUCAGGACCGGAGGAACAGACAGAUGCAGCACUUCCUCUCCCCCAUCGCAUAUCACAUGAUCAUGGGGCACUCGGCGCUAAAUCAUUUGUAGAUGACCUGAUUCUGAGUCAGGAUUUUAUACAUAUCAGAGCUGCUCCUUCACUGUGAUCUAUUGAGAAUCAGCCCUCUACACAAGCUUUU
rfam:Tyto alba contig156344, whole genome shotgun sequence.